CUCUCUCUCUCUCUCUCUCUCUCUCUCUCUCUCUCUCUCUCUCUCUCUCUCUCUCUCUCUCUCUCUCUCUCUCUCUCUCUCUCUCUCUCUCUCUCUGUGAGUUUUGAUUUCGAUUUGUUUUUGUCUUGGUAAAGAAAGUUGGAGGAGGCAGAGAAGCUUGAUGGAGGAGGACGGAGAAUUCACGAGGUGGAGGAAGUGAGGUGGAGGAAGCUGGACGAACAGACAGCGGAAGAGGCGGGAUGAAAAGGCGAAGGAGGAGGCAUGACGCUCAAGUUUGCCAGCGGUGGAGAGUUCAACAAGAAGAUGGCGGCCUCUAGAUUAGAGUGAUGAGAGGACGAGAUCUUUGUAGAAGCAGUUUUGAGUGAUGAGGUCUGACACAGAGGCCAAGCCGUGGACGUUAAUGGCAGCGUAGAAGCUGGAGACAGCUUCAGAGUUCAGACACAGAUGUGGGAGCUGUUCGGGACGCAACGUCGAUGGCUGUCUCCCACCACUCAGCUGCUUUUACAGACGGACUACAGGAUGUGAACUAUUGCCACCGAGUGACGGUUGUUGGUUUCAAACUAUUGCCAGAAAGGUUUAUUCUUUGGACUGGACACCUGAGAUGAACCAGAUUGUCAGUGCAUCUCAACAAGACACGCUCAGUUAGAAGAGAAAAGUGAUGGAAAAGGGAAAGACACAACCAAAGGGCCAAUUGAUAAAGUCCUGAAAAUGCAAUCGUUUAGAUCUUGAAAAG